AAACUCCAUGUCAUUCCAAUAUUUCUUGAAUUCUCUUACUAUUUUCCAUUUUUGAAUUUUUGGCAGAUCAAUGCCAUUUAUAUUCAAGCCUUAUAUAGAAUUUUAAACAUUGUUCCCUACAUACAUUUUAAAUUUGAUUUCUCCUUCCUCAUGUUAAAUCCUAUGAGUUCAAAAUAGAUAUACAACCUAUGAGCUUUUGAUUACAUAUAUACGUUAUUAUAAUAAUAAUCUGUUGCUCAAAAUAUUGAUUUGUUUUCAAUUAUUUGCAGGUAAUGAGUCCCUCAAUGGCACUGAAGGGACAAAUUCAGUUAAAGUUGUGAAUGGAGUGGCAGUUGUACAAGGAAGGACACACACUCUGGUUGAGAGGUUUGAAAUGAGAGAGAGGGAGAUUAAAUAGUGAUGAAGUUCAGGCACCUGAUACAACCCCUCAAAUAAUACCUGAGAUGGCUAAAAUAUCCCCCAUGUUGGUGGUGCGCCAUUUUUGGGAACGGAAUAAUAUCAAGGGUGCUAUAGAUGCUACGAGGAAGUUGCCUGAUCAUUUUGUGGGUAUUUUUUGGAGGAUUUCAAGCGUGUUGCUUGUUCGUUUCAGAUGGUUCCUAUUGGUAACCAAUUUCUUCCUUGUUUAAUUUUAUGAAGAUUGUAUGUGGUGUAGGUACAAGCAGACCUGAUCAGUAUUCUCAUGGAGAAAAUGGAGAUUCUCACCUAAGGUUUGCACUAAACAUGGGGGGCUGAUUUGAAGAAAAUUCAAAUUGUUUGACAGUAUAUGAUUGAGAUUUGGAAAGUUGCAGGGUUAAAUCUCCAAAGGAGAUAAACUAAAAUUUUUAUGGUCUUUAAUUUGGCAUUGUAAUUCAAAUUUGAUCCAAUCUGUGUUCUUUUAUAUUAAUUAUUAGUUAAUUCACAAUCUCUGUUCCUAGUUAUAAAUUUAUAUAAAU